AGCGAAUAGAUACCCAGGUAGUCCACGCCCUAAACGAUGUCGACUGGUUGUUGGGGGUUUGACACUCUCAGUAAACGAAAGCUAAACGCGUGAAGUCGACCGCCUGGGGAGUACGGCCGCAAGGUUAAAACUCAAAGGAAUUGACGGGGACCCGCACAAGCGGUGGAUUAUGUGGAUUAAUUCGAUGCAACGCGAAAAACCUUACCUACCCUUGACAUGUCCGGAAGGCUGCUGAAAGGCGGCUGUGCCCGAAAGGGAACUGGAACACAGGUGCUGCAUGGCUGUCGUCAGCUCGUGUCGUGAGAUGCUGGGUUAAGUCCCGCAACGAGCGCAACCCUUGUCAUUAGUUGCUACCCGCAAGGGAGCACUCUAAUGAGACUGCCGGUGACAAACCGGAGGAAGUGGGGAUGACGUCAAGUCCUCAUGGCCCUUAUGGGUAGGGCUUCACACGUAAUACAAUGGCGCGUACAGAGGGUUGCCAAGGAGCGAUCUGGAGCCAAUCCCGUAAAGCGCGUCGUAGUCCGGAUUGCAGUCUGC
rnacentral:rRNA from 1 species